ACGGGAGGCAGCGGUGGGGAAUAUUGCACAAUGGGGGAAACCCUGAUGCAGCAACGCCGCGUGAGUGAAGAAGUAUUUCGGUAUGUAAAGCUCUAUCAGCAGGGAAGAUAAUGACGGUACCUGACUAAGAAGCUCCGGCUAAAUACGUGCCAGCAGCCGCGGUAAUACGUAUGGAGCAAGCGUUAUCCGGAUUUACUGGGUGUAAAGGGCGCGUAGGUGGCAUGGUAAGUCAGAUGUGAAAUACCGGGGCUCAACCCCGGAGCUGCAUUUGAAACUGCCAGGCUAGAGUACAGGAGAGGCAAGCGGAAUUCCUAGUGUAGCGGUGAAAUGCGUAGAUAUUAGGAGGAACACCAGUGGCGAAGGCGGCUUGCUGGACUGUUACUGACACUGAGGCACGAAAGCGUGGGGAGCAAACAGGAUUAGAUACCCUGGUA
rnacentral:rRNA from 1 species